ACGGCUCAGUAACACGUAGUCAACCUAACCUAUGGACGGGAAUAACCUCGGGAAACUGAGAAUAAUGCCCGAUAGAACACUAUACCUGGAAUGGUUUGUGUUCCAAAUGAUUUAUCGCCAUAGGAUGGGACUGCGGCCUAUCAGUUUGUUGGUGAGGUAAUGGCCCACCAAGACUAUUACAGGUACGGGCUCUGAGAGGAGUAGCCCGGAGAUGGGUACUGAGACACGGACCCGGGCCCUAUGGGGCGCAGCAGGCGAGAAAACUUUGCAAUGUGCGAAAGCACGACAAGGUUAAUCCGAGUGAUUUGUGCUAAACGAAUCUUUUGUUAGUCCUAGAAACACUAACGAAUAAGGGGUGGGCAAGUUCUGGUGUCAGCCGCCGCGGUAAAACCAGCACCUCAGGUGGUCAGGAUGAUUAUUGGGCCUAAAGCAUCCGUAGCCGGCUCUGUAAGUUUUCGGUUAAAUCUGUACGCUUAACGUACAGGCUGCCGGGAAUACUGCAGAGCUAGGGAGUGGGAGAGGUAGACGGUACUCGGUAGGAAGUGGUAAAAUGCUUUGAUCUAUCGAUGACCACCUGUGGCGAAGGCGGUCUACCAGAACACGUCCGACGGUGAGGGAUGAAAGCUGGGGGAGCAAACCGGAUUAGAUACCCGGGUAGUCCCAGCUGUAAACUAUGCAAACUCAGUGAUGCAUUGGCUUGUGGCCAAUGCAGUGCUGCAGGGAAGCCGUUAAGUUUGCCGCCUGGGAAGUACGUACGCAAGUAUGAAACUUAAAGGAAUUGGCGGGGGAGCAC
rnacentral:rRNA from 1 species